UUGAACGCUGGCGGCAUGCCUUACACAUGCAAGUCGAACGGUAGGGGGCGAACCCUUGAGAGUGGCGAACGGGUGAGUAAUAUAUCGGAACGUGCCCAGUCGUGGGGGAGUAACGCAGCGAAAGCUGCGCUAAUACCGCAUACGAUCUAUGGAUGAAAGCGGGGGAUCGCAAGACCUCGCGCGAUUGGAGCGGCCGAUAUCAGAUUAGGUAGUUGGUGGGGUAAAAGGCCCACCAAGCCGACGAUCUGUAGCUG
rnacentral:rRNA from 1 species